GACAGAGGGUGCAAACGUUGCUCGGAAUCAUUGGGCGUAAAGCGCACGUAGGCGGUUCGUUAUGUCGGAUGUGAAAGCCCUUGGCUUAACCGAGGAAGUGCAUCCGAAACUGGCGAGCUAGAGUACGAAAGAGGAUGCGGAAUUCCCGGUGUAGAGGUGAAAUGCGCAGAUAUCAGGAGGAACACCGGUGGCGAAGGCGGGUCUCUGGGCCGAUACUGACGUGGAGGAGCGGAAAGCCGUGGGGAGCAAACAGG
rnacentral:rRNA from 1 species